rnacentral:rRNA from 1 species
UACGGUGGGGGCUAGCGUUGUUCGGAAUUACUGGGCGUAAAGCGCGCGUAGGCGGUUUUUUAAGUCAGAGGUGAAAGCCUGGUGCUCAACACCAGAACUGCCUUUGAAACUGGAAGACUUGAAUCAUGGAGAGGUCAGUGGAAUUCCGAGUGUAGAGGUGAAAUUCGUAGAUAUUCGGAAGAACACCAGUGGCGAAGGCGACUAACUGGACAAGUAUUGACGCUGAGGUACGAAAGCGUGGGGAGCAAACAGG